UCCUGCUCGCUGCUUCCCAUAAUAUACACAGGCUCUUGUGGCUUGAAGUCGUAGGUAGCAGCAGUUCGACCCUGACGCCGCGCGGGCAGAGUCCGCGGACGCCCGCCGAGCGAGGAGGAGGCUCUCUCUGGCCCAGCGCCCGACUCCCAAAAUGACCAGAGCCGCUUCCACGGCGUGGCCGCCGCUGCUGUCGCUGCUGUCGCUGUGCUGGACAUCCACGGUAGCCGAGACGGAGACUAUCGUUGUGCAAGCGCCACCCCACGUGCGCGGCUUCCUGGGCGACAAUGCGACGCUGCAGUGCAAGCUGCACACUCAGGAGAAGAACGUGCAGGUGACGCUGGUGACGUGGAUGCGGCAGGACCUGGCGGGGAGACCCCGCAGUGUAGCCGUCUUCCACCCGAUCCGGGGCCCCAGCUUCCCCUCGCACCCCAGCUUCCCGGAGCCUGGUCGCUUGGAGUUCGUAGCCGCCAGGCCCGGCGUGGAGUUGCGGGACGCGACUCUGGCUGUGCGAGGGCUGCGCGCGGAGGAUGAAGCCAACUACACCUGCCACUUCGCCACGUUCCCGCACGGUAGCAGGAGCGCCAGUACCUGGCUCCACGUGCUGGUCCAGCCCCAGAACAAGGCUGAUAACCUGGAGGUCCCACUCAGCCUGCUCAGCCAGGAGCCUGUGCCUGUGGCCCUCUGCAUCUCCACAGGAGGUCGCCCGCCUGCCAACAUCUCCUGGUCCCUAGAUGGGAAGGCCAAUACCAGCCAGGUGCCAGGACCCCUGCCUGGCACAUUCACUGUUACCAGCUUCUUAAUCUUAACACCCUCAAGCCAAAUAAACCUCAAGAAUGUCACCUGCAUCGUGAAGCACGAGAGCUUUGAGGAGCCCAUCCUGCUGCCUGUGACCCUCAGAGUGCACUACCCCCCUGAAGUCUCCAUCUCUGGUUAUGAUGACAACUGGUACCUUGGCCAAAGUGAGGCCACCCUGAGCUGUGACGUCCGCAGCAACCCAGAGCCCACAGACUAUGAGUGGAGCACGACCACGGGUUCCCUGCCAUCCUCUGCUGUGCCCAAGGGCAACCAGCUCCAGAUCUGUCCAGUGGACGAAUUGAUCAAUACGACUUUCACCUGCAGUGUCACCAACGCCGUAGGGACUGGCAGGGCAGAACUGCCCAUCCUGCUCAGAGAGGGACCUUCCAGGGAGCAGUCACACCCGGCCUUGUCUCCUGCGCUCGUCGCUCUGAUUGUGGUUGUAGUCCUGAUUGCAGUUCUGAGCGUGGUGGUGAUUUAUCGUCGGUGCUUCAGACAAUCUCGUUAGUCCCCUCCUCUUUGGCACCUUCCCUGCCUGUCUGCCAUGAAUGAACAUCACCGCAGCCGCCAUAAUUGAGCACCUAGUCAGAGACCAUCCAGCCCCUCUGCUAAUGGCAAAGUCUCCUACUCAGUUGUGAACGGUAAUGCCAGCUCUCCCCAAGAACUGCCGACAGCAGGCACAAGGUGACAGCAUCAGUACCGAAUGAAGGAAGCAACUAGAGCUGGUAAGGACAUACGCCUCGCAGGUGGACCCCACUCCAAUGGAUGAAGUCUCCCUGCAACAGGACAGAACACCCUCUGUGCCAGACCUCAAGAUGUCCCCUAUGUUCUGCAACGCAGUGGGUGGGUGUAAGCCCACUCUCAGGUGCAGUCUGUUCACUAAGGACUCACAGAACUCAGGCAAGCUGUUACACUCAGGUGAAAGCACAAGAUGAAGGUCAGCAGUGGGAAAAGGCGCGUGGAGCAGAGCCAAGAGAAACCUGGCACGAGCAUCUAGUUGUCUACUCCCAGUGGAGUCAUACCACAGUGCUUCAUACCACAGAAGUCAUACCACUUCUCCCAGCAAUGACAUGUGACAACACACCCAGAGUAUUGCCAACCAGGGAAACUCACCCCAGACGUGGUUUUCAGAGCUUCUGUUGGGGGUCAAUCAUGUAGACAUCAUGCUGACCACCAAUGUAGCUGACCUUAGUCUCAAGCACCUCCAUAGGUCAAGCCAAUACCGUGUGGUCCAAGGCCCCACCGUAAUCCACAGGGUCAACACAGAAUACGCAGUGUGGCCCACGGGGCCUCCUGUAAACCAAGACUACUAUCAGCCGGAAUACUCCAAGAGCUUAGAGGUCACCUCACAGAGCAAAAGGCUGAAUCUCUCUCUGGGCGAGGUUAACCCUUUCCUGCAUGGUGGGGCCACACAGGAUGUUCCAACUGUCAGAGAAUUUUGGUAAGAAUUUGACCUCUGACCUUGAGCUUCCACAUCUCCAUAUCAGUCAAAUCACUGUGUUUACAAGCAACAGUCACUGACCCCAGAAGAGAACCAGAAGCUGGAACUUGGGCUGCCUGGAGCUGUCUGAGGAGCAGGAAUAACUGGUGGAUGUGAACUUGGAGUUAUCAGUCCCAGGCACCUUGUGCCAAGACUCAAGUCCUGGAAGAGCAUCUGUAGUCAGCGUGCUACGGUUGACAGGACCCCCGGGCAUGGGGGCCCAGUAACCCACCAAGGCUGUUGUUGCCAAAAGAUGGAGGAAGAGACGCGGUGGGAGCAGCUACACAGGACACACGCUGCCCUCAGACUAGGAUGGAUGCAGCCCAAGACCCCGGAGGCAGAGCUGCUCAGAUGCAACUGACAUAUUUAGUUGAAGACGUUUUAUGAUCACCAGAAUCCCUCUUACAGCAAGUGUUUGCUGUGGAAUAUACCUUAGAGAGAUAAGACCUUGGGUCAGGAUGCUAAAGCAGAGGGCGAAGUGUAAGCUGCUCUGCAAGAGAUAACCAGGAUUUGGGAUUCACAUAGAUAAAGAGUGAAAAACAGGAUCGGGGAGAGACAGGAACCAAGAGAAUGGGAGGGGGGAGGGGUGGAGGGGUGCCUAGGCCAGUGGAGCUCCAAGAUACUAUGGAGACACAGGGGAGACUGGUUGCCUUGCUGCUAUGGAAAGUCCUUGUCUGUUUGUAGCCCCAAACACUCAUUAAACCUUAUU